AAUAUUCACCUUACAAUGUUAGUGUAUACCCAACCAUAGAGAAAUCUAUUAAAAGUCAUCUCGCUGCAUCCCCAGGGAAAGCGCAUUCAUGGUAUGCCCUGUAUGGUAUGCCCUGUACGGUAUGCAAGGUUCACAGCCGAAGGAAGAGAGGGCCCAAGUGCAAAAACAUCUUUAAGCGAACGUCGGUCGCCACGUGCACUUACUGUGUACCUCCCACCCCAAACCUCAGGAUAGAAAGACAUAAAUGGGUCCAGAAGCCACAGAAGCGUCUUCCUCCCUGCUCCUAGUCAUCCCUUUCGCUUUCCAUUCUCACCUGGCCUCCCCCAGGCCUCGCCUUCUUCCCUCUUUACUCCAUUCCCUAACUCCUGCCUCGUAGGCAGCGGUGGGGAGCCGCAGGCUGCUCCCCGAGUCCCAACGCUACUAGGGUGCUGUAACAGUGAUGAGGCGGCGUUGCAGUCUGGCUAGGCGCUGCAGCGGGCACCAGCUACGUUUUGCUGUCGGCGGCAGUUACCCGGACGCAAGUUAAGGGGGUCAUCUAUCUUCUGAGGCAUCUUCCUUCUCUCGGGAUUCUAUUUGGGUAGCUCUCUUCAAUUCCCCAAACAGAACAACUGUUAGUAUUUCACAAAGGCCUUCAGUACAUCUUUAUUAAUCUGACUGCCUGGUUGCAGUUACAUUUGAGAAUAAGACUGAGAUCAAAUUCCACGUUUAGAGUGAGAAAUGACUGCAGUUGAAGACUUGGUUGCAAGAGUCUAAGAAGACACCUCAGGGAGAGAGACAGGAUCCAAAACAAGAUUGCUGGCUGAGGAAUGGGACAAGUCACCAGCUCAGAAGUCUCAGGACCAGCGACAUCAAGAGCAGGAAGUGGCCAGUGCCUCAACUUCACUCCCCUCUCCCUCCUGGAACAGGCCCUCCAUCACCGUAGAUAAUUCAUGUCACUGAAUGGAACAUUGGAAAAUUAUUAAAAAUGUUUUCCCAGCAAAUCAACACAAUUUAAUAGUAAAUAGCAAUAUUAGCAGCAUUCCAUCUAGUGCAAAAUAGGUCUUUCAAGCACAGUGGCCAAUGACCGUGGAGAAGUCUCCCAGGAAGGUUCUGGAACAGGUUCUUACAGGAAGGGCAGCCGAGAACAUCAAUGAUUAAAAGGGGGCUGAGAAGAGGAAACUGAUGGACAAAGAGGUGAGAAGUGGGAGAAAGAACGAAAAUCUGGAGGUUGGAGGAUAAACAAACCCACAUCCUUGUGGAUGAAGAAGGAUACCAAAAACUCAUUUUCCUGGAAGGAGCAAUUUUUGAAAUCAGCUACACUGAGGCUGCAGAUUGAGUGAAGGUCUUUUCCAUGUGAAUUUGUCCUGCAUCUGGGAUAAAGGUAUAAUGAUUACCUAAAGCAUGUUCUGUUCAUGGAAGAUCACUGGAACACAAAAGACCAAGCUCACAGCAUAUUCAAGACAUCUGCUCGUAUUCCACUGGCCAAAGAAAGUGAUGUGGCCCAGCCUAAAGUCAGGAACAGGAGCAGGAGGCUUUGACAACUGAGAUCUUCGAUCAUGAGUGUUGUGAAUGCAGACGGGGUUUUGUACUCCAGGCACUGUGCUAGGCACCAGGACUAUAAUACAACUUGUGAUCUGUAGAGGAGUCAGACAAUUAUCCAGGCAUCCCAAAGAAAUGUCAAUUGCAAGCCUGGAUCCCUUUUUCCCUGGAGGCUGUUCUGAAGAUGGCACCCUACCUGCUCACCUUUUAGUGUACCUGGGCACCCAUGCCUCCAUAUGGUGACCCUCAAAUCAUACUGUAUGAAGAGCAGCUGUUUUGUCAACUAUUUUUUAAUGAGAUUUUUUUUGCUUUGGUUUAAAAAAUAGCAUAUAUUUGCGUUAGAAAAUUAGAAAUACAGAAGAAACAGAAAUAUAAAAGAAUUACCUAUAACAUGCAAAAAUGACUAGUACAAAUGUUUUUGUUUUUUUACAGUAUGUGAACAUAUUGUAUGUUUAUAUUAAUAUCCAUAGUAUUUAUUUUUGCCUACAUGUUUUACUUAACAUAUGUAGUAAGCAUUUCCCAUGUUAGUCAAAUUAUUUGUGGACAUUAUUUUUAAUGACUAUUAAUGUUAUUACUCUACAGCUUGCCGAAUAAGUCUCCUAUUAUAUGUCAUUUUGGGUCCUAGCAACAUUUUUGUGUUUAAAUCCUUGUAGCAGUUUUGACUGAUUUCCUUAAGAUAGAGUCCAAGAAGAGAAAUAAUUUGCUUGUUUGUUUAUCAUUUGGUACUUUCUUUUAUGGUAAUGUCCUUGGGGCUGAUAAUUCAGAACCAUGAAUAGAUAUGAUUCUUGUCUUUGAGGAGAUUGUAGCCUUGUGCUAGGUUAAAGAAUAGGCACGUUUUAAAGUUCUCGAUACACAUUUUCAAAGUGCUUUUCAAAAAUUUGUAUCAAUUCAUCCUUCUACUAUAAGGGAAAAUCUGUUCUGGGUUGUUUUUCUGGUAUAUCUUCCUAUUAAGAACCUGUUCUCCCUCCUGCUUUGUGACUCACAUGGAGUUGCCACUGCAUGCUAUCAUCUCCAUCCCUUAGAGCAACCUAUUAGAGAACUUACUCUCUGGAGUCCCAAAAGAGAAACAACAGCAACAACUCAGCAAUUCAUCUGGGGUCAGCGUGUUACCCAGUCUGGGCCAUUGGAGAUUUUUUUAAAGGGAAGUUUCUCCUAUUUUCUUCAAAAUUCUGAGCUGUGAAGAGGACCACUAGAAAGUUCAAUCUAUUUAUGAUUUUUUAAAAAACUGUUAUUAUAUAUAUUUAAGUGUAUGUCAUGUUUCCACACAUAUAUACAUAGUGAAAUGAUCACUGUAAUCAAGCUAAUUAGAAUAUCCCCCAUCUCGCAUAGUCACCUUUGUGUGUGAAAAGGGUUCAGUGCUUCCCUCUCCACUCUUCAUCUCCCCUUUAAAAAAGCAGAGAUGAAUGGAGAGGGAAAGGUUGAACAAUGGUUAUGUGGUGGGACUGCUGGGAUUCACCUGAGAGUUAAAACCAGCUAGUUCUACCCGUAUGUUUUUCACUUAGAUAAGCCAACAAAUUAAUUUCUUUUCCUCUAUUCUUCUUGUCUUCUUUCCUGCCUCUUUACCUGUCUCCCUUCCUUCCUCUCUUCCCACUCUCUUUCUUUCCUUAUUUAAAUUGGUUUGAAUUGAGUUUCUGACACUAAUGGAGAGUCCUUAUUGUGCCUUCACGUUAUUUUUAUCAAACCAGAAAAUGUUAAUGACAUAAAACAAUUACUGUUUGGACAAGGAAAAUUGUAUUUCUUUCCUUGAAAUUUCUACACACAUACACAUUUGUGCUUGUUAGUGAGGCUAAGCAUUUUCCCCCUUAUUUGUGAAUUAUAUAUUCAAUGUUUUGAUCCAUUUAUCAAAUAAAUUCCUUAGUUUAAAAAAUAUUUGCAGGUGCGGUUAUUAUGGAAAGCAGCAUGAAGUUUCCUCUAAAUAUUAAAAAUAGAAUCACCACAUGACUCAGCAAUCCCUCCUCUCUAUAUAUUUUUAAAGGAAAUGAAAUCAGCACUUCAUGGAACUAUCUCCACUCCCGGCUGGGCGCAGUGGCUCACGCCUGUAAUCCCAGCACUUUGGAAGGCCAAGGCAGGUGGAUCACGAGGUCAAGAGAUGGAGACCAUCCUGGCCGACAUGGUGAAACCCUGCCUCUACUAAAAAUACAAAAAUUAGCUGGGCGGGGAGGCACAUGCCUGUAAUCCCAGCCACUCGGGAGGCUGAGACAGGAGAAUCGCUUCAACCUGGGAGGCGGAGGUUGCAGUGGCUGAGAUCGCACCACUGCAGUCCAACCUGGUGACAGAGGGAGACUCCAUCAAAAAAAAAAAAAAGAAAAAAAGAAAUAUCUCCACUCUUAUAGUCAUUGAAGCAUAAUUAACAAUAACCAAGCUAUGAAAUCAAUGUAAGUGCCCAUCAAUGGAUGAGUGGAUAAAGAAAAUGUUACACACACACACACACACACACACACACACACACAGUGGAAUUUCAUGUAGCCUUAAAAAAGAAGACGAUUUUGUUAUUUAUAACAUGCCUGAAUGUGGAGGACAUUAGGUUAAGUGAAAUAAGCCAGAAAGAAAAAUACUGCAUGAUCUUACUUAUAUGUGGAAUCUAAAAACGUCAAGUACAAAAAAGCAAAAAGUAGAAUAGUGGUUGCUGGGAUCUGGGGCUGAGAUUAUGAUGGGCAAAUGGGAAGAAAUUGAGUGCAGAGUUUUGAUUAGGAUCAAUAAGUCUAGAGAGCAAAUGUACAGCAUGAAGACUAUAGUUACUACUGGGUUGUAUACUGGAAAUUUGCUAAGAAAGUAGGUUGUAGGUCCUCUUACCAUACACACAUAUACAGGUAACUAUGCGAGAUGAUGGAUAUUCUAAUUAGAUUGACUGUAGUAAUCAUUUCACUAUGUAUGUGUAUGAAAACAUGACAUACACCUUAAAUAUAUAUAAUAACAUUAAAAAAACCCAAAAUCUUGAAAAGAUUAUUAAGCUUUCCAAUGCCCAAGAAAAGGAAGAAAAGAAAAAGAAACUGCCACAGCUUAUUUUAAAAAUAAAAGUGGGCUCUCUUUUUAAAAUAUUAAUUUUAUAGUACCUUAUCUGGUAACCAAAAUAUUUUUAAAUAUUCUGAUGCUAUUAUAGUAUAAUCAUUCUUUAAUAAUUUUGUAGAUUUCACUUUACUGAACAAAGCCCUAAACAAAAACAUUGAAUAUGACAAAAACUUGCAUAAGUUUAUUUCAUACUGAAGACAUAUAUGCUAUAGAUUUGUAGAAAUACUUCCCACUUGGUUACUUGCUUAUGUUAUGAGUUUUUACCUACAGAAACUUGCUUUUUUUCUUGUAAAAUUUAGAUUAAUUUCUUUGGUAUGUUUUCCUACUGCUUUAAAACUUCAGAAUUCCUUUUUUCAUAGAACUUUUCUAUUUUCACUUAGAAACAUUCAGAACUUAUGUUAGUGUGUGAUUUGAGGUGGUUUUUGUGUUGACUUUGUUUCCUACCUUGUUAGCUAUUUUUUCUAUGCCAUUGUGGAAUAAUUUGUUAAUUUUCAGUGGAUUCAUAAUGCCUUUAAAAAAUAAGGUUGUGUUCUCAGAGGUGAUAAAUUUUAUUUAUUUAUGAUGCUCCAUCUAUGUUAAGGCUAUUUGUAAGUCUAUGUGUAUGGUAGGAUUUUAGUUCUACACUGCAUCUUACACAGGUUAGUAAAAUAUAGCACAUUUAUUAAUUAUUUAGAGUAUAGGAUUACGUAUUGAUAAGUACAAGCUAUUGAGCCUUCCCAUGUCCUAGGCACUUUGCUGAAUUUUAAUCCUUAUCACAACUCAAUGGGAUAGAUACUGUUGUCAUCUUUUGUAGACAUGGGUUUAUUAUAGCUAUUUUAAAAUGAGUUAGCAAAUUCAAAUUUCAAAAAUUCUAUUUUUAUUUCUAAUAUGGUAAAUAUUGAUAAAUAAAAUUUAUAUAAACAAAUAUUUUGAUGUACUCAGUAACCCAUAAGGGUAUAUAAGAGCCCUGAAAUGAAAAAGUUUGAGAACUGCUUAUAAGCCCUAUAUAAUUAUUAGGUAUUAAUAUCAUUAUUAAUUUUUGAAUCUAUAUUCAAAUAUAGUUAUCAUAAAAUGAACUUCAUAUAUGUAAGUGUAUACUUUGAUGUGUUUUGACAUAUGUAUAUUAUAAUGAAGCCAUCAUCAUAAUUAAGAUAAUAAACAUAUCCAUCACUCUCAGAG
rnacentral:lncRNA from 10 species